rnacentral:rRNA from 1 species
GCCGAGCGGUAGAGUUCCUUCGGGACUUGAGAGCGGCGUACGGGUGAGGAACACGUGUGCAACCUGCCUUUAUCUGGGAGAUAGCCCUCCGAAAGGGGGAUUAAUAUUCCAUAAUAUAUCAUUUGGCAUCAAUUGAUAUUGAAAGCUCCGGCGGAUAGAGAUGGGCACGCGCAAGAUUAGAUAGUUGGUGAGGUAACGGCUCACCAAGUCUGCGAUCUUUAGGGGGCCUGAGAGGGUGAUCCCCCACACUGGUACUGAGACACGGACCAGACUCCUACGGGAGGCAGCAGUGAGGAAUAUUGGACAAUGGGUGCAAGCCUGAUCCAGCCAUCCCGCGUGAAGGAUUAAGGUCCUAUGGAUUGUAAACUUCUUUUAUACAGGGAUAAACCUACUUACGUGUAAGUAGCUGAAGGUACUGUAUGAAUAAGCACCGGCUAACUCCGUGCCAGCAGCCGCGGUAAUACGGAGGGUGCAAGCGUUAUCCGGAUUUAUUGGGUUUAAAGGGUCCGUAGGCGGGCUCGUAAGUCAGUGGUGAAAGCCUGCAGCUUAACUGUAGAACUGCCGUUGAUACUGCGAGUCUUGAGUAAAUUUGAAGUGGCUGGAAUAAGUAGUGUAGCGGUGAAAUGCAUAGAUAUUACUUAGAACACCAAUUGCGAAGGCAGGUCACUAAGAUUUAACUGACGCUGAUGGACGAAAGCGUGGGGAGCGAACAGGAUUAGAUACCCUGGUAGUCCACGCCGUAAACGAUGCUAACUCGUUUUUGGGCUUUCGGGCUCAGAGACCAAGCGAAAGUGAUAAGUUAGCCACCUGGGGGAGUACGUUCGCAAGAAUGAAACUCAAAGGAAUUGACGGGGGCCCGCACAAGCGGUGGAUUAUGUGGUUUAAUUCGAUGAUACGCGAGGAACCUUACCAAGACUUAAAUGGGAGUGGACAGGCUUAGAAAUAGGCCCUCCUUCGGGCCGCUUCCAAGGUGCUGCAUGGUUGUCGUCAGCUCCUG